GAUGAAUGUUGAGACAUGUUGUAGGACUUUUGAGAAAAGUUUCUUUGCCCUAGCUGAGCUUUCCUGAGAAGAUGAAUGGAGAAGGAGAUUGUUGCGUUUAGGUUGAGUGUGCUAAGGGAAUAGAUACUAUUUUCAAUGCCAGGGAAUGAUUUAUCAUUAAUGUGGCUUUUUCUUUUAAAAGGGUAGACACUAUUUUUAUUUUCUUUAUUUUUCCACUUUAACUGCCAUAAUUUCACAAGAGUCCAAAUCCCUAAUUUCCC
rnacentral:lncRNA from 1 species